AGCUUUGCCCAGCGGCAGUAUCGUAGCCAAUGAGGUUUAUCCGAGGCGUGAUUAUUGCUAAUUAAAAAUGUUCUAGCAAGCCAAAUCUAAAAGGGCUGAGUUCUGCCAACAAGAAUUUAAUUGUCUUCCUUCUGCUGAGG